AUGGAGAGAUACAUCCAACAGGAAGCAAAGCCUCAUUAUUCGCAAGUAGUUUUAGGUGCUGACAAACAAUGUUCCAGAGGGGCCACUGGGGUGACCCAGUCUCCAUCCUCCCUGGCUAUGUCUCUAGGAGAGAGGGUCACCCUGUCCUGCAGGGCCAGUCAGAGCAUUAGUAAUUACAUAAACUGGUACCAACAGCCCCCAGGCCAGUCUCCCAGGCUUCUCAUUCACGGGGCUUCCACCCUGCACUCUGGGGUCCCUGAUGGGUUCACUGGCAGUGGCUCUGGGACAGAUUUCUCUCUUACCAUCAGUGCUGUGGAACCAGAGGACAUCGCAGACUAUUACUGCCUACAAGUCAAUUACUGGCCUCUCACAGUGCUCCAUCUCUGA